AGCAGAAGUCAGAGGCUUAACCGACUGAGCCACCCAGGUGCCCCAAGGUGGAUGUCAUCCAAUCUGUUGAAGUCUGAACAGAACAAAGAUGGCAGAUGAAGGGUGAAUUGCUUUCUGCUUGAGCCAGGACAUCCAUUUUCUGCCCUCAGAUAUUGACACUCCUGGCUCUUGGACCUUUAAAGGACCUGGAGUGAAUUAUACCACCAGCUUUCCUAGUUCUUCAGCUUGAAGACAACAGAUCAUGGGACUUCUGAGUCUCCAUACUUACGGGCCUCACAAAAACCCUGGCAUGCUAACUUGCUAGCUUGAGCAUAUGGUAUAAUAAAUAUCAGAUGGGACUUUUUACCAGUGAAAUCAUAGCUUGUAAUCAGCACUGCAUCUUGCUACUGGUGUGAGGGGAUCCUUUGCCUUAUGCCAACUAGAAGGCUAUCGAAAUCAACCCACGGGAUGUUGCCACAUUUACCCUGAUAGAACUUUUCAUACAAGAGCUCUUAAAAUCAAGAACUGAAGUCUGGAGAGAAUCAAGGGAAGUACAAAUGUGUAAAAAUAUUGAGUGCCAGAUUUAUCACUAAUAAUUUAUUCUCUUAACACCUUGCAAAGUACACUUCCACUGUUAUUUGCAUUUUGAAGGUUAAAAAACAAAUCUAUAAACCCAUUGACUUUUAUAAACUUCUACGUAAGAUAUCUCAACCAAAAUAAAGUUCUAUGAGAAUUUUGA